rnacentral:rRNA from 1 species
UACGUAGGCAGCGAGCGUUGUUCGGAAUUACUGGGCGUAAAGAGUGUGUAGGCGGUGCUCUAAGUUCGGUGUGAAAUCUCCUGGCUCAACUGGGAGGGUGCGCCGGAAACUGGAGUGCUUGAGCGUGGGAGAGGAAAGCGGAAUUCCUGGUGUAGCGGUGAAAUGCGUAGAGAUGUGGAGGAACACCGAUGGCGAAGGCAGCCUUCUGGG